rnacentral:sRNA from 1 species
UAUCGAUUGAAUUAAAGGGUCCUUGC